rnacentral:rRNA from 1 species
GGGGAAUAUUUGACAAUGGGCGAAAGCCUGAUCCAGCAAUGCCGCGUGAGUGAUGAAGGCCUUAGGGUUGUAAAGCUCUUUCAGUGGGGACGAUAAUGACGGUACCCACAGAAGAAGCCCCGGCUAACUUCGUGCCAGCAGCCGCGGUAAUACGAAGGGGGCUAGCGUUGUUCGGAUUUACUGGGCGUAAAGCGCACGUAGGCGGAUUGUUAAGUGAGGGGUGAAAUCCCAGGGCUCAACCCUGGAACUGCCUUUCAUACUGGCAAUCGUGAGUCCGGAAGAGGUGAGUGGAACUCCUAGUGUAGAGGUGGAAUUCGUAGAUAUUAGGAAGAACACCAGUGGCGAAGGCGGCUCACUGGUCCGGUACUGACGCUGAGGUGCGAAAGCGUGGGGAGCAAA